rnacentral:rRNA from 1 species
UACGUAGGUGGCAAGCGUUGUCCGGAUUUACUGGGCGUAAAGAGCGCGCAGGCGGUCGUUCAAGUCGCGUGUGAAAGCCCCCGGCUCAACUGGGGAGGGUCAUUCGAUACUGCUCGGCUCGAAGACAGGAGAGGGAAGCGGAAUUCCUGGUGUAGCGGUGAAAUGCGCAGAUAUCAGGAGGAACACCGAUGGCGAAGGCAGGUCUCUGGGCAUUAACUGACGCUGAGGAGCGAAAGCAUGGGGAGCGAACAGG